rnacentral:piRNA from 1 species
UAAAAAUUUAGCCACAAUGUUUUCUUCAUU